rnacentral:tRNA from 1 species
UAGAUAUAGUUUAAACAGAAAACGUCAAGUUGUGGACUUGGCCACAG